AGAGUUUGAUCCUGGCUCAGAAUGAACGCUGGCGGCGUGCUUAACACAUGCAAGUCGCACGAGAACGCUUCAGCUUGCUGGAGCUAGUAAAGUGGCGCACGGGUGAGUAACGCGUGGGUAAUCUACCCUCGACUCGGGGAUAACAUUGCGAAAGCGAUGCUAAUACCGGAUAACAUCAAGAAAGCUUCGGUUUUUUCGAUCAAAGGUGGCCUCUAUAUGUAAGCUUCCGAUUGAGGAUGAGCCCGCGUACCAUUAGCUUGUUGGUGGGGUAAUGGCCUACCAAGGCUGCGAUGGUUAGCUGGUCUGAGAGGAUGAUCAGCCACACUGGAACUGACACACGGUCCAGACUCCUACGGGAGGCAGCAGUGAGGAAUUUUGCGCAAUGGGGGAAACCCUGACGCAGCAACGCCGCGUGAGUGAUGAAGGCUUUCGGGUCGUAAAGCUCUGUCAAGUGGGAAGAAACUGCAUUUGGCCAAUAUCCAUUUGCACUGACGGUACCACUAAAGGAAGCACCGGCUAACUCCGUGCCAGCAGCCGCGGUAACACGGGGGGUGCAAGCGUUACUCGGAAUCAUUGGGCGUAAAGGGCGCGCAGGCGGCCUGGUUAGUCAGAUGUGAAAGCCCGGGGCUCAACCCCGGAAGUGCAUUUGAUACUGCCAGGCUUGAGUAUGGGAGAGGAAAGUGGGAUUCCUGGUGUAGAGGUGAAAUUCGUAGAUAUCAGGAGGAACACCUGUGGCGAAGGCGACUUUCUGGAC
rnacentral:rRNA from 1 species